CCUACGGGAGACAGCAGUGAGGAAUAUUGGUCAAUGGACGAGAGUCUGAUCCAGCCAAGUAGCGUGAAGGAUGACUGCCCUAUGGGUUGUAAACUUCUUUUAUAUGGGAAUAAAAUGUUCCACGUGUGGGAUUUUGUAUGUACCAUAUGAAUAAGGAUCGGCUAACUCCGUGCCAGCAGCCGCGGUAAUACGGAGGAUCCGAGCGUUAUCCGGAUUUAUUGGGUUUACAGGGAGCGUAGGUGGAUUGUUAAGUCAGUUGUGAAAGUUUGCGGCUCAACCGUAAAAUUGCAGUUGAAACUGGCAGUCUUGAGUACAGUAGAGGUGGGCGGAAUUCGUGGUGUAGCGGUGAAAUGCUUAGAUAUCACGAAGAACUCCGAUUGCGAAGGCAGCUCACUGGACUGCAACUGACACUGAGGCUCGAAAGUGUGGGUAUCAAACAGGAUUAGAUACCCCAGUAGUC
rnacentral:rRNA from 1 species